ACAAGGGAAGCAAGUUGUUGGAGAAAAUCGCUUCACCGGCUGCCCCCACCUCCCAGCUUUGGUCAGCGAGGCCGCUAUCAAAUAUGGACAUUGCCAAACCUCGUUCUAUCUCUGCGUACCAAGGAGGAUACAGGAGAGAGGAGAGAGGGGAAGGAGGUGGAAAUGCAUUAAAACAAAAAAGAGAGAAUGAAGCAGUGUAAGAAUUGGAUACCUCCUCAGGACCACAUUUUAAUGGGAAAUACAGCUUGAUGGAUAAACUUCAGGGGUUUAUGAAGAAAUGGCAGAGU
rnacentral:lncRNA from 1 species